AAACUGGGACGGCACAAAGGCCAAACUUAUAGCGCUUGGUACAUAGGAGAGCCACGAGAUUUGGCACAAAAAUGGGCUCAUUUUAUCAGAUGACGUCCUAUCAGGCAGGCUUGUAACUAGGAUGAAGGUAGCUCUGUUGUUGAAGUCGAAGCGAAAAAAAACAGCCGAAUCUACUUUUCUUAACCGCAAACCUACUCUCGUCAAAGCUUAGGAAAUCCAUCUGAGGUCACGGAACAGGCAUAACUGCCAGCAUCGUUGAGGGUCACAUUAGCGAGGGUAAGAUCA